CAGCACCACAGCCGCACAGCUCCACAACACUGCAGCACCACAACACUGCAGCACCACAGUCCCACAGCACUACAGCCCCACAGCCCUACAGCCCCACAGCCCUACAGCCCCACAGCUCUACAGCCCCACAGCCCUACAGCCCCACAGCUCUACAGCGCCACAGCCCCACAGCCCCACAGCACCAAAGCCCUACAGCCCCACAGCCCUACAGCACCACAGCCGCACAGCUCCACAACACUGCAGCACCACAGUCCCACAGCUCUACAGCACUACAGCUCUACAGCUCCACAGCCCUACAGCACCACAGCCCUACAGCACCACAGCUCGACAGCCCCACAGCUCCACAACACUGCAGCACCACAGUCCCACAGCUCUACAGCACCACAGCCCCACAGCACCGCAGGGUGGCUGAGCCUGGAGGGUGCCUCUGAAGAUCUCCCAGCCCAGCCCCCUGCCGAGCAGGAUACGUGCAACCACAGACAAGAAACCCAGCCAGCACGGGUGUGAGAUGACAUUGCCAAAAGUCCCUUAGUGCCUGUGCGAGGCCUUGGCUCACGGCUGCUCCCAGUUCCUGUGGGGGUGGCUGGGAGGAUGGCUGCUCUCUGGCCUGCGGUGCUCCCACGGCAGCCCAGGUUUUGUGAGGCUGAGCCCAACCAGGGCUCGAGAGCAGCUCUGCGAACAUGGCAACUGGCAAAGUGCUGCAGUCCUCGCUUGGGGUUGAAGUGCUGCACAAUGUUUGUAAGAGAAAAUUAGCUCAUACUUUUAACUGAGAGGCAGCAGUGCCUGAAGUGCCUCAGUCGCUCUUGGAAAUGGUACUUCAGUUGUUUAAGAUAGUGCUGCUCGUCACUGGAUCAGGGAUAAUGAGCACUUUGGGGGCCAGAAACAGGCAGGGGGGCUGAAGAGCUCCAUGUGCUGGAGACGGGAUUUCUUACCGUGAGGGCAAAGCCAGCAGGAUGGGGGCAUGUUCGAGAACAACGCUGCUGGAGCUCCGAAUGUGCUGCUUGCAAGCCAGCGCUAAGCCAACAAUGCUGGGCACCGGCUGCUCGAGAGCACAGUUCCUGUUUCCUUCUGGAAAAAGCCAGAGGAUGGGUAGGAACAGCCCGAGGUUGCGCCCUUUCCUCCCGUCCUCGCACAGCCUCCGUGUCGCCUGCGUGGACCCUGGGCCUGUCCCCAUCCUGUCCCCACCCAGCGGGGUGCCGGGAGCGGGGCGUGCAGACACCAACAAGCGCUGCCGCAGCGCCGAACGCCCCGCGAACCCCAGCACAGCUCGUGUGUGGAUGCACAGCAUCCCACCCCUCACAAAACCGCCCGGAGGAUGCCCUUGCCGGCUUUUGGGCUUGCCAGGGCAGAGGAAGGCCGGCGAGGGGCUCGCAGCGCUGCUGGCAGGAGCCAGGGCUCACCGCAGGGGUUGCGAUGCUGGAAGCGGCGUUCACUUCUGCAGCAUGUGGAUCUGCCCUCAGCAGACCCGCCCCCAGCUACCUUUGUGUCAUUCAAGGCCCAGAGCAGUACGUCGGUGUGCCGAAUAGCCCAGCUACAAGAGCUCAAUUAACCAAUUUUUUUUUUGGGAAACCGUAAAGGGUUUGAGCUGAAGUUAUCCCACCUGCCACACGGGACAUUUAAGAGUAGCAAGCACCCAGGACGUGGAUGUAAAGCAAUAUAAAUAAGUACGACAGGAAGAUGCCACAGGCCCUCAGGUGAGUUUCUGUCCUCUCAACACACAGAUUAACUCAUAUCCACCUCUACGCCAGCCUCCCCAAAGCCGGACCCUGGCCGGAGCUGCGUGCACCCUGGCGUUGUUGGGAUUCGGAGGCACGGUGGUGGGAGCAGCACCGUAACCCCGUGGGGCUGAGCCCCCUCCUUCCCUCCUGGCUUUGUGGAACAGAUCUGCUAAACACCAGGUUGGUGCUUGAUCGGGGGGCGCAGCUGCGGGCUGUGAGGAUGACAUGCGUGCUGAUGCAGUGACAGUCGCGUGGUGGUGGGUGCCCCCAUCCCAUCCCCAUCCUAAUCCCGAUCCCAAUCCCCAACCCAUCCCCAUCCCAACCCCAUCCCUUCACAAUCCCAAACCAGAUCCCAA